rnacentral:rRNA from 1 species
CAAUAGCGUAUAUUAAAGUUGUUGCAGUUAAAAAGCUCGUAGUUGGAUUUCGGAACCGGCCGAUUGGUCCGUCCUCUGGAUCGUGUACUGAUCGGUCUGUUCUUCUUCGCGAAGACCGCGUGUGCCCUUAACUGGGUGGGCGCGGGAUUCGCGACGUUUACUUGAAAAAAUUAGAGUGUUCAAAGCAGGCCUUCGCUUGAAUACAUUAGCAUGGAAUAAUAGAAUAGGACUUUGGUUCUAUUUUGUUGGUUUCUAGGACCGAAGUAAUGAUUAAUAGGGACAGUUGGGGGCAUUAGUAUUUAAUUGUCAGAGGUGAAAUUCUUGGAUUUAUGAAAGACUAACUACUGCGAAAGCAUUUGCCAAGGAUGUUUUUCAUUAAUCAAGAACGAAAGUUAGGGGAUCGAAGAUGAUUAGAU